GUCAGGAUGGCCGAGUGGUUAAGGCGCUUGACUUGAAUUUGAAGCGAUUCCUAGAAUUCGCAAACAUCUUCUGGCAUCAAGUACCCAUGUGGUGCGCAGGUUCGAAUCCUGUUCCUGACG
rfam:Wallemia sebi CBS 633.66 unplaced genomic scaffold WALSEscaffold_14, whole genome shotgun sequence.